rnacentral:rRNA from 1 species
AGUCUGCAACUCGACUCCAUGAAGUCGGAAUCGCUAGUAAUCGCGGAUCAGAAUGCCGCGGUGAAUACGUUCCCGGGCCUUUGUACACACCGCCCGUCACACCAUGGGAAUUUGUUGCACCAGAAGUAGGUAGUCUAACCGCAAGGAGGACGCUUACCACGGUGUGGCCGA